GGGAAGCCCUGUGAGUGCCCCGACUGCGGGAAGAGCUUCAUCUGCUGCUCCAACUCCAUCACCUAUUGGAGGACACACCUUGGGAACAGGCUUGGUGACCCACAGUCCCAGUGACCCACCCUGGGAACAGGCUUGGUGACCCACAGUCCCAGUGACCCACGUUGGGAAGACCCCUGGCUGGUGGACUGUGGCAGGAUAGUCCCAGCCUGGCCAGACCCAAGGUCCAAUCAAGCUCAUAAUCAAGCUGUCACACAAGAUCAACUGCUGGAGCCAGGCUGUUGUCUCGGUGUUAACUCUGCUCAAACCAUCCUGGUUGGUCCAACGUUGAACACACACCCUGCUGGUUGAAGUCUGAGUUGACAGAUAAGCUGAGAGCUGGCCUGGAAAGGCGGGCCUGGCACUCAAUCACUUUAUCCUAUAAAAAGUCCAGUCCCCUCUCAUGCAGUCGGGUUCUUUCUGACAAAACCCUCCCUGGGGGGUGUGUGGAGAUUCCUCCCUUGGCUGGGGACGCCCUCCAAGGUCACUCCUUGAGGCUGAGAGGAAGAGAUCUCCCCACAGGCAUUGGUCUGGGACACCUCUGCAUCUGGCUUCAGCCAAUGGCCAUGCAGAUGUCGUCAGAUAUCUGCUAAGAAAGAACAGCCAGCCCAACCUCGCUGACAACUUCAAGAGAACAGCCCUGAUGAAGGUGUGUGGAAUGCCUUCUGAGCUUGGAGGUGGGGCUCAGUGCUGGGGUGUUAAAGGGGAGGUGUCUGGCAGGAUUCCUUGCAGGGCAGGGCCAUAGAAACACACCUAUUGCAAUGGGCAGGGCACAGCCUCUGUUAGCUGAUCUUUGAAGGUGGUCUUCUAUGGCAGCACUCAGGGGCUGAGGGAGUUGUGAGAGAGGGGGAUGGAAAAGUUGGAAGCCUUUCCCUUUUGGUGUGUUGUUGCCAGGCAGUCCAGCAGGAGCAGGAAGAAUGUGUUGCUGUUCUGCUGGAACACGGUGCCGACCCCAAUCUGGCAGACGCUGACGGCAACACUGCCCUUCACCUGGCUGUGCUCUCUAAAAACACAGCUGUAGCAGGGCUGUUACUGGAGCAUCAUGCCAACAGUGAUGCUCAGAACCAGUGGGGAUUUACCCCCUUCAAACUUGCAGCCUUGCAACAGCACGAGGAGAUUCUGGAGUGCCUUGUGAACAAAGCAGCUGACAGGCCUGCUCAAGCCCAGGGGGAAAGGAGUGCUCUUGUGGUUCCUGGAAGCCAUGAGGCUCACCUGGAGGAAGAUAAUCUGUGCUUGCAGGAGGAGCUGGACAGGGCUG